AUUUUUGCGUCCGAGCAGCAGCAGCAGCUCACUGCAUUAUCUGAUGCGCCGACAGCGCGCGCACACCUCCGUUUUCUUUGCCUGUACUCCCUUCUUCUGUGAGGCCCGGUGAGACACACAAGUAGACCGCGCCAGCAACAACGAGCAAGCACUGCCUCAGUGCUUACGCAAGCUCCGUCUCCUCCUCUGUUCCCCCCCCUUGCCGCUUCAUUGUUUUGUUUUGUUUUUCGUUUUUGUUGUGCCUCUGUUCUCCAUUUUGGGCUGAAAGUGCCGUUGGCAAUCCCCCUCCCCCCAUCCGGGGCCCUCCCUCCCCGCCUCCCUUUCCGUGUUGCCGCCCCCCCCCGUCCCCGCCUUUCCCCUAAAGUCUCUCUUACCUCUCCGCAUCCUGUCGUUUUUUUUUUCUUACCCCUGCCUUGCUCUCUCCCUCUCAGCGUAGACGUGUGAGUCCUGUUCAAGACGUGCCAGCACGGCACACGCCUCUGUGCUUGCUUCUUGUUUUGUUUUUGCGUUGCUGUUUCUGCAUCCAACCGCCUCCGCCUUCUCUCUGCACGCCUACGUUGUCACACGACUGCCGCCACAGAGCACGCAAAAAGAAAAGCGUUCUCCUCCUCUCUGCUGUUCGGUUUCCGCGAGUGUUGUGAAAUGUUACUUCAUCGCGUAACAUCCCUCUCGCUGUGCUCCUGUUGAUCGCUUUCGGCUCUACCUUCCUUGGCGUGUACACCGCUUCCACAAUACUCACGCCAUUCUCUCCCCCAAG
rnacentral:misc_RNA from 1 species